rnacentral:rRNA from 1 species
GACGAACGCUGGCGGCGUACCUAAUACAUGCAAGUCGAGCGCAGGAAACUGACGGAACUCUUCGGAGGGAAGGCAGCGGAAUGAGCGGCGGACGGGUGAGUAACACGUAAGGAACCUGCCUCAAGGAUUGGGAUAACUCCGAGAAAUCGGAGCUAAUACCGGAUAGUUCAUCGGACCGCAUGGUCUGUUGAUGAAAGGCGCUUCGGCGUCACCUUGAGAUGGCCUUGCGGUGCAUUAGCUAGUUGGUGGGGUAACGGCCCACCAAGGCGACGAUGCAUAGCCGACCUGAGAGGGUGAUCGGCCACACUGGGACUGAGACACGGCCCAGACUCCUACGGGAGGCAGCAGUAGGGAAUCUUCCACAAUGGACGAAAGUCUGAUGGAGCAACGCCGCGUGAGUGAUGAAGGUUUUCGGAUCGUAAAACUCUGUUGUAAGGGAAGAACACGUACGAGAGGGAAUGCUCGUACCUUGACGGUACCUUACGAGAGAGCCACGGCUAACUACGUGCCAGCCGCCGCAGUAACAC